UUCUCUUUGGGCCUUAGGCCCGAUUCUUCUACCUGUCCUAGACUAACACAUAAAUAACAAUUAAAAUGAUAAAGGGCUUAGGCCCAAAGUAACAAAAUACAAUUCUUUGGAAUUAAGAGUGGGCCUUUGGCCCAAUCUUUUCAAUUUCUCGAUCUGUUGCAUAUUCUUUCGACCCCGAAACCUGUUCGUCAAUUUUUAUAGCUGGCCGGUUGACUCGAUAA
rnacentral:lncRNA from 1 species